rnacentral:lncRNA from 1 species
GUGAUGAGGGAAACUUUAGUUUCUUCAAUGCUUAGACAUACCUGGUUAUAUUGAAGAGUUUGUCACAACUGUUUGGCAUGUACUCUUUGCUGAUGUUUUACAGAGUCCUAAAGGAAAGCCACAGUCUUAUACAACUGGUUAGCAGGUUUCUCUGUUUGAUACUCAUGGUUUUUGUUUCCUUUGGGCAAGCAGUACUUACUGCUUUGUUGGUUAUUACAAAGUGUUCCUGGGAAUGGCAAAGGGCAGAAGCUGUGGCCAUAGGCCUACACAGCUUAAUAACCUGAAUUAAAAUGUUCUUUAUGGCAGUUGCCUAUCAUUAUACAUU